AGCGUACACGGUGGAUGCCCUGGCAGUCAGAGGCGAUGAAGGACGUGCUAAUCUGCGAUAAGCGCCGGUAAGGUGAUAUGAACCGUUAUAACCGGCGAUUUCCGAAUGGGGAAACCCAGUGUGAUUCGUCACACUAUCAUUAACUGAAUCCAUAGGUUAAUGAGGCGAACCGGGGGAACUGAAACAUCUAAGUACCCCGAGGAAAAGAAAUCAACCGAGAUUCCCCCAGUAGCGGCGAGCGAACGGGGAGGAGCCCAGAGCCUGAAUCAGCAUGUGUGUUAGUGGAAGCGUCUGGAAAGGCGCGCGAUACAGGGUGACAGCCCCGUACACAAAAGCGCACAUGCUGUGAGCUCGAUGAGUAGGGCGGGACACGUGGUAUCCUGUCUGAAUAUGGGGGGACCAUCCUCCAAGGCUAAAUACUCCUGACUGACCGAUAGUGAACCAGUACCGUGAGGGAAAGGCGAAAAGAACCCCGGCGAGGGGAGUGAAAAAGAACCUGAAACCGUGUACGUACAAGCAGUGGGAGCACCCUUUGGGGUGUGACUGCGUACCUUUUGUAUAAUGGGUCAGCGACUUAUAUUCUGUAGCAAGGUUAACCGUAUAGGGGAGCCGGAGGGAAACCGAGUCUUAACCGGGCGUUAAGUUGCAGGGUAUAGACCCGAAACCCGGUGAUCUAGCCAUGGGCAGGUUGAAGGUUGGGUAACACUAACUGGAGGACCGAACCGACUAAUGUUGAAAAAUUAGCGGAUGACCUGUGGCUGGGGGUGAAAGGCCAAUCAAACCGGGAGAUAGCUGGUUCUCCCCGAAAGCUAUUUAGGUAGCGCCUCGUGAAUUCAUCUCCGGGGGUAGAGCACUGUUUCGGCUAGGGGGCCAUCCCGGCUUACCAACCCGAUGCAAACUGCGAAUACCGGAGAAUGUUAUCACGGGAGACACACGGCGGGUGCUAACGUCCGUCGUGAAGAGGGAAACAACCCAGACCGCCAGCUAAGGUCCCAAAGUCAUGGUUAAGUGGGAAACGAUGUGGGAAGGCCCAGACAGCCAGGAUGUUGGCUUAGAAGCAGCCAUCAUUUAAAGAAAGCGUAAUAGCUCACUGGUCGAGUCGGCCUGCGCGGAAGAUGUAACGGGGCUAAACCAUGCACCGAAGCUGCGGCAGCGACACUGUGUGUUGUUGGGUAGGGGAGCGUUCUGUAAGCCUGUGAAGGUGUGUCGUGAGGCAUGCUGGAGGUAUCAGAAGUGCGAAUGCUGACAUAAGUAACGAUAAAGCGGGUGAAAAGCCCGCUCGCCGGAAGACCAAGGGUUCCUGUCCAACGUUAAUCGGGGCAGGGUGAGUCGACCCCUAAGGCGAGGCCGAAAGGCGUAGUCGAUGGGAAACGGGUUAAUAUUCCCGUACUUGGUGUUACUGCGAAGGGGGGACGGAGAAGGCUAUGUUGGCCGGGCGACGGUUGUCCCGGUUUAAGCGUGUAGGUGUGUGUUCCAGGUAAAUCCGGUUCACUUUAACACUGAGGCGUGACGACGAGGCACUACGGUGCUGAAGCAACAAAUGCCCUGCUUCCAGGAAAAGCCUCUAAGCAUCAGGUAACAUCAAAUCGUACCCCAAACCGACACAGGUGGUCAGGUAGAGAAUACCAAGGCGCUUGAGAGAACUCGGGUGAAGGAACUAGGCAAAAUGGUGCCGUAACUUCGGGAGAAGGCACGCUGACACGUAGGUGAAGUGAUUUACUCAUGGAGCUGAAGUCAGUCGAAGAUACCAGCUGGCUGCAACUGUUUAUUAAAAACACAGCACUGUGCAAACACGAAAGUGGACGUAUACGGUGUGACGCCUGCCCGGUGCCGGAAGGUUAAUUGAUGGGGUCAGCGCAAGCGAAGCUCCUGAUCGAAGCCCCGGUAAACGGCGGCCGUAACUAUAACGGUCCUAAGGUAGCGAAAUUCCUUGUCGGGUAAGUUCCGACCUGCACGAAUGGCGUAAUGAUGGCCAGGCUGUCUCCACCCGAGACUCAGUGAAAUUGAACUCGCUGUGAAGAUGCAGUGUACCCGCGGCAAGACGGAAAGACCCCGUGAACCUUUACUAUAGCUUGACACUGAACAUUGAGCCUUGAUGUGUAGGAUAGGUGGGAGGCUUUGAAGCGUGGACGCCAGUCUGCGUGGAGCCAACCUUGAAAUACCACCCUUUAAUGUUUGAUGU
rnacentral:rRNA from 1 species